GGUUAAGCGACUAAGCGUACACGGUGGAUGCCCUGGCAGUCAGAGGCGAUGAAGGGCGUGCUAAUCUGCGAUAAGCGCCGGUAAGGUGAUAUGAACCGUUAUAACCGGCGAUACCCGAAUGGGGAAACCCAGUGUGAUUCGUCACACUAUCAUUAACUGAAUCCAUAGGUUAAUGAGGCGAACCGGGGGAACUGAAACAUCUAAGUACCCCGAGGAAAAGAAAUCAACCGAGAUUCCCCCAGUAGCGGCGAGCGAACGGGGAGGAGCCCAGAGCCUGAAUCAGCAUGUGUGUUAGUGGAAGCGUCUGGAAAGGCGCGCGAUACAGGGUGACAGCCCCGUACACAAAAGCGCAUGUGCUGUGAGCUCGAUGAGUAGGGCGGGACACGUGGUAUCCUGUCUGAAUAUGGGGGGACCAUCCUCCAAGGCUAAAUACUCCUGACUGACCGAUAGUGAACCAGUACCGUGAGGGAAAGGCGAAAAGAACCCCGGCGAGGGGAGUGAAAAAGAACCUGAAACCGUGUACGUACAAGCAGUGGGAGCCCCACCACUAAGCCAGUGGUGAACUCCACAUACGCAUCCUUUGCUGAGGAUACGGUUAACGGAGCGAAAGCGACGUUCAACCUCAAAAGAAGCAGAGGGGGCUUAGUGGUGGGGUGACUGCGUACCUUUUGUAUAAUGGGUCAGCGACUUAUAUUCUGUAGCAAGGUUAACCGUAUAGGGGAGCCGGAGGGAAACCGAGUCUUAACCGGGCGUUAAGUUGCAGGGUAUAGACCCGAAACCCGGUGAUCUAGCCAUGGGCAGGUUGAAGGUUGGGUAACACUAACUGGAGGACCGAACCGACUAAUGUUGAAAAAUUAGCGGAUGACCUGUGGCUGGGGGUGAAAGGCCAAUCAAACCGGGAGAUAGCUGGUUCUCCCCGAAAGCUAUUUAGGUAGCGCCUCGUGAAUUCAUCUCCGGGGGUAGAGCACUGUUUCGGCUAGGGGGCCAUCCCGGCUUACCAACCCGAUGCAAACUGCGAAUACCGGAGAAUGUUAUCACGGGAGACACACGGCGGGUGCUAACGUCCGUCGUGAAGAGGGAAACAACCCAGACCGCCAGCUAAGGUCCCAAAGUCAUGGUUAAGUGGGAAACGAUGUGGGAAGGCCCAGACAGCCAGGAUGUUGGCUUAGAAGCAGCCAUCAUUUAAAGAAAGCGUAAUAGCUCACUGGUCGAGUCGGCCUGCGCGGAAGAUGUAACGGGGCUAAACCAUGCACCGAAGCUGCGGCAGCGAACGUAUCACUUAAAGCGAUUCAGCGGAUGACGAUUGACGGAGCGAAGCGACGUCAAAGCGUAUACAAAGUCGAGUCGGUUUAAGGAUACGUUCGUUGGGUAGGGGAGCGUUCUGUAAGCCUGCGAAGGUGGCCUGUGAGGGUUGCUGGAGGUAUCAGAAGUGCGAAUGCUGACAUAAGUAACGAUAAAGCGGGUGAAAAGCCCGCUCGCCGGAAGACCAAGGGUUCCUGUCCAACGUUAAUCGGGGCAGGGUGAGUCGACCCCUAAGGCGAGGCCGAAAGGCGUAGUCGAUGGGAAACGGGUUAAUAUUCCCGUACUUGGUGUUACUGCGAAGGGGGGACGGAGAAGGCUAUGUUGGCCGGGCGACGGUUGUCCCGGUUUAAGCGUGUAGGUGUGUGUUCCAGGUAAAUCCGGUUCACUUUAACACUGAGGCGUGACGACGAGGCACUACGGUGCUGAAGCAACAAAUGCCCUGCUUCCAGGAAAAGCCUCUAAGCAUCAGGUAACAUCAAAUCGUACCCCAAACCGACACAGGUGGUCAGGUAGAGAAUACCAAGGCGCUUGAGAGAACUCGGGUGAAGGAACUAGGCAAAAUGGUGCCGUAACUUCGGGAGAAGGCACGCUGACAUGUAGGUGAAGUGAUUUACUCAUGGAGCUGAAGUCAGUCGAAGAUACCAGCUGGCUGCAACUGUUUAUUAAAAACACAGCACUGUGCAAACACGAAAGUGGACGUAUACGGUGUGACGCCUGCCCGGUGCCGGAAGGUUAAUUGAUGGGGUCAGCGCAAGCGAAGCUCCUGAUCGAAGCCCCGGUAAACGGCGGCCGUAACUAUAACGGUCCUAAGGUAGCGAAAUUCCUUGUCGGGUAAGUUCCGACCUGCACGAAUGGCGUAAUGAUGGCCAGGCUGUCUCCACCCGAGACUCAGUGAAAUUGAACUCGCUGUGAAGAUGCAGUGUACCCGCGGCAAGACGGAAAGACCCCGUGAACCUUUACUAUAGCUUGACACUGAACAUUGAGCCUUGAUGUGUAGGAUAGGUGGGAGGCUUUGAAGUGUGGACGCCAGUCUGCAUGGAGCCGACCUUGAAAUACCACCCUUUAAUGUUUGAUGUUCUAACGUGGACCCGUAAUCCGGGUUGCGGACAGUGUCUGGUGGGUAGUUUGACUGGGGCGGUCUCCUCCUAAAGAGUAACGGAGGAGCACGAAGGUUGGCUAAUCCUGGUCGGACAUCAGGAGGUUAGUGCAAUGGCAUAAGCCAGCUUGACUGCGAGCGUGACGGCGCGAGCAGGUGCGAAAGCAGGUCAUAGUGAUCCGGUGGUUCUGAAUGGAAGGGCCAUCGCUCAACGGAUAAAAGGUACUCCGGGGAUAACAGGCUGAUACCGCCCAAGAGUUCAUAUCGACGGCGGUGUUUGGCACCUCGAUGUCGGCUCAUCACAUCCUGGGGCUGAAGUAGGUCCCAAGGGUAUGGCUGUUCGCCAUUUAAAGUGGUACGCGAGCUGGGUUUAGAACGUCGUGAGACAGUUCGGUCCCUAUCUGCCGUGGGCGCUGGAGAACUGAGGGGGGCUGCUCCUAGUACGAGAGGACCGGAGUGGACGCAUCACUGGUGUUCGGGUUGUCAUGCCAAUGGCACUGCCCGGUAGCUAAAUGCGGAAGAGAUAAGUGCUGAAAGCAUCUAAGCACGAAACUUGCCCCGAGAUGAGUUCUCCCUGAGACUUAGAGUCUCCUGAAGGAACGUUGAAGACGACGACGUUGAUAGGCCGGGUGUGUAAGCGCAGCGAUGCGUUGAGCUAACCGGUACUAAUGAACCGUGAGGCUUAACCUU
rnacentral:rRNA from 1 species